UACGGAGGAUGCGAGCGUUAUCCGGAUUUAUUGGGUUUAAAGGGUGCGCAGGCGGAUUUUUAAGUCAGCGGUCAAAUCGUGGGGCUCAACCCUGUCGAGCCGUCGGAACUGGCAGUCUUGAGUGGGCGAGAAGUAUGCGGAAUGCGUGGUGUAGCGGUGAAAUGCAUAGAUAUCACGCAGAACGCCGAUUGCGAAGGCAGCAUACCGGCGCCCAACUGACGCUGAGGCACGAAAGCGUGGGGAUCGAACAGG
rnacentral:rRNA from 1 species